rnacentral:rRNA from 1 species
GGGUUGUGAGGUUAAGCGACUAAGCGUACACGGUGGAUGCCCUGGCAGUCAGAGGCGAUGAAGGACGUGCUAAUCUGCGAUAAGCGUCGGUAAGGUGAUAUGAACCGUUAUAACCGGCGAUUUCCGAAUGGGGAAACCCAGUGUGUUUCGACACACUAUCAUUAACUGAAUCCAUAGGUUAAUGAGGCGAACCGGGGGAACUGAAACAUCUAAGUACCCCGAGGAAAAGAAAUCAACCGAGAUUCCCCCAGUAGCGGCGAGCGAACGGGGAGCAGCCCAGAGCCUGAAUCAGUGUGUGUGUUAGUGGAAGCGUCUGGAAAGGCGCGCGAUACAGGGUGACAGCCCCGUACACAAAAAUGCACAUGCUGUGAGCUCGAUGAGUAGGGCGGGACACGUGGUAUCCUGUCUGAAUAUGGGGGGACCAUCCUCCAAGGCUAAAUACUCCUGACUGACCGAUAGUGAACCAGUACCGUGAGGGAAAGGCGAAAAGAACCCCGGCGAGGGGAGUGAAAAAGAACCUGAAACCGUGUACGUACAAGCAGUGGGAGCACGCUUAGGCGUGUGACUGCGUACCUUUUGUAUAAUGGGUCAGCGACUUAUAUUCUGUAGCAAGGUUAACCGAAUAGGGGAGCCGAAGGGAAACCGAGUCUUAACUGGGCGUUAAGUUGCAGGGUAUAGACCCGAAACCCGGUGAUCUAGCCAUGGGCAGGUUGAAGGUUGGGUAACACUAACUGGAGGACCGAACCGACUAAUGUUGAAAAAUUAGCGGAUGACUUGUGGCUGGGGGUGAAAGGCCAAUCAAACCGGGAGAUAGCUGGUUCUCCCCGAAAGCUAUUUAGGUAGCGCCUCGUGAAUUCAUCUCCGGGGGUAGAGCACUGUUUCGGCAAGGGGGUCAUCCCGACUUACCAACCCGAUGCAAACUGCGAAUACCGGAGAAUGUUAUCACGGGAGACACACGGCGGGUGCUAACGUCCGUCGUGAAGAGGGAAACAACCCAGACCGCCAGCUAAGGUCCCAAAGUCAUGGUUAAGUGGGAAACGAUGUGGGAAGGCCCAGACAGCCAGGAUGUUGGCUUAGAAGCAGCCAUCAUUUAAAGAAAGCGUAAUAGCUCACUGGUCGAGUCGGCCUGCGCGGAAGAUGUAACGGGGCUAAACCAUGCACCGAAGCUGCGGCAGCGACGCUUAUGCGUUGUUGGGUAGGGGAGCGUUCUGUAAGCCUGUGAAGGUGUGCUGUGAGGCAUGCUGGAGGUAUCAGAAGUGCGAAUGCUGACAUAAGUAACGAUAAAGCGGGUGAAAAGCCCGCUCGCCGGAAGACCAAGGGUUCCUGUCCAACGUUAAUCGGGGCAGGGUGAGUCGACCCCUAAGGCGAGGCCGAAAGGCGUAGUCGAUGGGAAACAGGUUAAUAUUCCUGUACUUGGUGUUACUGCGAAGGGGGGACGGAGAAGGCUAUGUUGGCCGGGCGACGGUUGUCCCGGUUUAAGCGUGUAGGCUGGUUUUCCAGGCAAAUCCGGAAAAUCAAGGCUGAGGCGUGAUGACGAGGCACUACGGUGCUGAAGCAACAAAUGCCCUGCUUCCAGGAAAAGCCUCUAAGCAUCAGGUAACAUCAAAUCGUACCCCAAACCGACACAGGUGGUCAGGUAGAGAAUACCAAGGCGCUUGAGAGAACUCGGGUGAAGGAACUAGGCAAAAUGGUGCCGUAACUUCGGGAGAAGGCACGCUGAUACGUAGGUGAAGUCCCUCGCGGAUGGAGCUGAAAUCAGUCGAAGAUACCAGCUGGCUGCAACUGUUUAUUAAAAACACAGCACUGUGCAAACACGAAAGUGGACGUAUACGGUGUGACGCCUGCCCGGUGCCGGAAGGUUAAUUGAUGGGGUCAGCGCAAGCGAAGCUCUUGAUCGAAGCCCCGGUAAACGGCGGCCGUAACUAUAACGGUCCUAAGGUAGCGAAAUUCCUUGUCGGGUAAGUUCCGACCUGCACGAAUGGCGUAAUGAUGGCCAGGCUGUCUCCACCCGAGACUCAGUGAAAUUGAACUCGCUGUGAAGAUGCAGUGUACCCGCGGCAAGACGGAAAGACCCCGUGAACCUUUACUAUAGCUUGACACUGAACAUUGAGCCUUGAUGUGUAGGAUAGGUGGGAGGCUUUGAAGUGUGGACGCCAGUCUGCAUGGAGCCGACCUUGAAAUACCACCCUUUAAUGUUUGAUGUUCUAACGUUGACCCGUGAUCCGGGUUGCGGACAGUGUCUGGUGGGUAGUUUGACUGGGGCGGUCUCCUCCUAAAGAGUAACGGAGGAGCACGAAGGUUGGCUAAUCCUGGUCGGACAUCAGGAGGUUAGUGCAAUGGCAUAAGCCAGCUUGACUGCGAGCGUGACGGCGCGAGCAGGUGCGAAAGCAGGUCAUAGUGAUCCGGUGGUUCUGAAUGGAAGGGCCAUCGCUCAACGGAUAAAAGGUACUCCGGGGAUAACAGGCUGAUACCGCCCAAGAGUUCAUAUCGACGGCGGUGUUUGGCACCUCGAUGUCGGCUCAUCACAUCCUGGGGCUGAAGUAGGUCCCAAGGGUAUGGCUGUUCGCCAUUUAAAGUGGUACGCGAGCUGGGUUUAGAACGUCGUGAGACAGUUCGGUCCCUAUCUGCCGUGGGCGCUGGAGAACUGAGGGGGGCUGCUCCUAGUACGAGAGGACCGGAGUGGACGCAUCACUGGUGUUCGGGUUGUCAUGCCAAUGGCACUGCCCGGUAGCUAAAUGCGGAAGAGAUAAGUGCUGAAAGCAUCUAAGCACGAAACUUGCCCCGAGAUGAGUUCUCCCUGACUCCUUGAGAGUCCUGAAGGAACGUUGAAGACGACGACGUUGAUAGGCCGGGUGUGUAAGCGCAGCGAUGCGUUGAGCUAACCGGUACUAAUGAACCGUGAGGCUUAACCUUACAACGCCGAAGGUGUUU